AAACGCGGAGCUGCGGCGUGGGGUUCAGGCCGCCCCGUCCGCGCGGUGAGUUCUUCCCAGUGGUCUGCUGAUGAGGAGCCUCCUACACUCUUGGUUCCUGUGGGUCCAAGACGGGACAAUGGAGAAAUAAGCCAUCCUGGUGCUCCUACUGGCAGUGAUGAUGGUGGCCAGCGUGGAUGGUGAAGAUCUGGAUGACAGUGUAGUGGCAAAAAUGAUGGUGGGAUUCGCCCAAAUGAUGAACCUAACUUCUGUAACGGUUUGCCUACCUACCCCCAAGUCAGCUGAAGACCCUCUACUGAUUUUUGUGCAGGACAUCAAUAUAUCGCUAGCCCUUGAGCUCACAUGGGAGCAAUUUAACAGUUAUAGCUGGAGGUUCAAAGAGGGCGGGGGAGGAGGCUAUACUUAUAUUGUCUAUAGUUGGUCACCAGGUGCGGUAAAUGCUAGUUCGGUAUAGAACACCAGAUGUAAUUAUAUUCUCCAACCUACUCAUGAGGCCAUGGGGUGGAGCUGGAAUGGUACUACACCAUGCCCCGAAAUUCCAUGGGGGACUACCAAAUAUAGUACUCGAUGGAACACUAAUGACCAUUCUCUACAAUACACAAAGCCAUUAAACACCUCAUGGUGUAUCAAACACCCUGAACGGGAUAACAGUGAAUGUCCCAGUACAUGUAACCGAAACUCAUUUGACUGCCCCUCAAUUGCAUGUGGGCUAGACACACCUGUGGACCUAGCUGAUAUGGAGAAAAAGAAAAAAUAAUACUGGCAGGGAAAUCUCUGCUCUGGAACUGUCAGGUGGAAAUUGGGUGCAAGGAUAAAAUGCCAUUACUGUGGCUAUAACCUCCCAUCCAAGAAGCUCUGAUACAAGGCUGUCCGUGUAGCAAUACUAGCUACUCACAACCUUCUGUCCUGAACUGGAGCAAGAGAGACUACUGUCGUCGCCUUACUACCAUACCAGGUUCAUGUCAAACAUCCAGUGUCUCUGCACGCCCUAACUUAGUGUGGGCAUGUUCUGAUGGCCACCUAUAUUCCCGACUAUAUCCAACCAUCCUGGGACUAGCCUGCACAUUAGCUGUGCUUUCUCUCUGUCCUGUUAAUUGGGAAGAACCCAUGCCAUACAAGUGGAGGGAUCGUAGGCCAAGGGAUUUACAGAAGGGAUGGCAGGAAGCCUCAACACCAGUCGGAUGGUGGAUGGAAUCAAUAUUUGGGCUAGGAAUUGCUCUGGUAUGAAACCGACAGAGCAUUCUAGAACUGGGUCUACAGCUAUCAGCCUUAGCCAAUGCUAUGUCUGACAGUUUGGGGCUCUUGAACGAUCAGUUACAACAUAUGAGUAAAAUGACCAUCCAAACCCGAGCCAUACUGGAUUUGAUGCUACUAAAGGAGAAAGGUGUAUGAAGAGUUUUGAACAUGUCAGUGGAUGACUGCUGUGUCCACAUUCCAAAUGUAUCAGUGCUGCUUCAGGACCAAAUCAACAAAAUGAAGAAAGCAGCAAAAGACUCAGAUGCAAAUGUUGCUGCACUAGGGACUAAUUGGCUGGGAAAGGUUUUUGGUAUGUUUGGAUUUUCUUUGUCAAGAUGGAUAACCAGCCUCUUCCAAUCUUUAACAAUGAUUGUAGUUAUGAUUAUUGUAAUCUGUAUUACAAUAAACUUUAUUAAACGCGCGGUAGUGAAA